rnacentral:rRNA from 1 species
UCAGCGAUGCGUCAUGCAUAUCAAUAAGCGGAGGAAAAGAAACUAACAAGGAUUCCCCUAGUAACGGCGAGUGAAGCGGGAAGAGCUCAAAUUUGAAAUCUUAAAGGGUUUCCCUUUAUGAAUUGUAGUUUAAAGAAGUGUUUUCUGUUGAGGUUUUGGUAAAAGUUCUUUGGAAUAGGACAUCAUAGAGGGUGAGAAUCCCGUAUUUGACCUUUACUUUCAACUUUGUGAUACACUUUCAAAGAGUCGGAUUGUUUGGGAAUGCAGUCCAAAAUGGGUGGUAAAUUUCAUCUAAAGCUAAAUAUCGGCGAGAGACCGAUAGCGAACAAGUACCGUGAGGGAAAGAUGAAAAGAACUUUGAAAAGAGAGUUAAACAGUACGUGAAAUUGUCAAAAGGGAAGCGUUUGACACCAGUGUUGUUUUUCUGAAAAUCAAUUAAAGAACUGUUUAUGCUAAGCUGUUUAGACUUUAUCAGCUAUCUGUUUAGUUUUGAGCUUUUCUUUAAUGCACUUUUCAGUUAACAAGUCAACAUCAAUUUCUUUUGCUGUAAAAAAGCUUGAGGAAGGUGGCUUGAGAUUCGUCUUAAGUGUUUAUAGCCUCUUGCCUAUGCAGUCGGAGAGAUUGAGGUCUGCAGCGUAGAUCCUUCGGGGCUAAAUGCAUUUGUGCUAAGUUAUAGCAUUUUAUAGACAACUUGUUGACUAUGAUUUGUCUUGUAGCUUACUCGCUUAUGUUAUUUUACCUACGCUUAGGAUGUUGAAUCUGUGCGAGACUAC